rnacentral:tRNA from 1 species
UGCGGGGUGGAGCAGUGGUAGCUCGUCAGGCUCAUAACCUGGAGGUCGUAAGUUCGAAUCUUACCCCCGCUA